CAGCGUCUUUACCGUGCUCCCACCGCUGACUCAGCGCUUGCUCGCAUGUGAAACCAAGAUCUAUCUGAUCUAAUGCGACA
rnacentral:rRNA from 1 species